UACGUAGGGUGCGAGCGUUAAUCGGAAUUACUGGGCGUAAAGCGUGCGCAGGCGGUUUUGUAAGGCAGAUGUGAAAUCCCCGGGCUUAACCUGGGAAUGGCAUUUGGGACUGCAAAGCUUGAGUGCGGCAGAGGGGACUGGAAUUCCUGGUGUAGCAGUGAAAUGCGUAGAGAUCAGGAGGAAUACCGAUGGCGAAGGCAGGUCCCUGGGCUGACACUGACGCUCAUGCACGAAAGCGUGGGGAGCAAACAGG
rnacentral:rRNA from 1 species